GAGGCUGCAGUCGAGAAUCUUGGACAAUGCACGAAAGUGUGAUCCAGCGACGUCGCGUGUAUGAAGAAGCUUUUCGGAGUGUAAAGUACUUUUCUAUGGGAACAAUUUUUGAGCUUACCAUAGGAAUAAGGGGUUGCUAACUACGUGCCAGAAGCAUCGGUAAUACGUAGGCCCCGAGCGUUAUCCGGAUUAAUUGGGCGUAAAGCGUCUGUAGGGGGUUUGGUAAGUUUGGUGUUAAAUUUCAGAGCUCAACUCUGAAACUGCGCUGAAAACUGCUUAACUUGAGGACAGGAGAGGUUGAUGGAACUUAUGGUGUAGGGGUGAAAUCCGUUGAUAUCAUAAGGAACACCAAGGGCGAAGGCAUUCAACUGGCCUGAUCCUGACCCUGAGAGACGAAAGCGUGGGUAGCGAAAGGGAUUAGAUACCCCUGUAGUCCACGCCGUAAACGAUGAACACUAGCUGUGCGGAGUAUCGACCCUCUGCGUGGCGAAGCUAACGCGUUAAGUGUUCCGCCUGGGAAGUACGAACGCAAGUUUAAAACUCAAAGGAAUAGACGGGAGCUCGCACAAGCGGUGGAGCGUGUGGUUUAAUUCGAUGAUACGCGGGGAACCUUACCAAGGCUUGAAAUUCUAGCGAAAUUGCCGGGAAACCAGCAAUGUCUUUUAGACGCUAGUUCAGGUGGUGCACGGUUGCCGUCAGCUCGUGGUGUGAACUGUUCCCUUAAGUGGGGAAACGAGCGCAACCCUCGUCCUGUGUUACAAGUGUCACAGGAGACUGCGGCUGUAUAAGUCGAGGAAGGAGAGGACGACGUCAAAUCAGCGUGUCCCUUUGACGCCUUGGGCGACACACGCGCUACAAUGGCCGGUACAACGGGUUGCCAAACCGUAAGGUGGAGCUAAUCCCUAAAAACCGGUCUCAGUUCGGAUUGAGG
rnacentral:rRNA from 1 species